CUGGAGGCCGCCAUGAUGGACCUGCUGGCCGUGCUCAGGGCUCAGCCCGGCCACGCCGGCGCCCGGCGGGAGCUGCGGAGAGUCCGGGGAGCGGCCAGGGACAGGGACGCGAGAUUGGCCAGGAGAUUGGGCCGGCUGUUCGCUUAAUUAGGGGUAAUUAGGGGUAAUUAAUUAGGGGGAGUUAGGGUUAGUGAGGGGAUUGGACCUGGACGCCACCAUGAUGGUCCUGGAGGCCGCCAUGAUGGAUCUCUGGCCGUGCUCCGGGCCCACUCCAGCCACGAUGUGCAAUUGGCCUGGCGGCUGGGCCGGCUCUUUGCUUAAUUAGGGGUAAUUAGGGUAAUUAGGGGUAAUUAAUUACAGGGAUUAGGGUUAGUGAGGGGAAUGGACCUGGAGGGCACCAUGAUGGACCUGGAGGCCGCCAUGAUGGACCUGCUGGCCGUGCUCAGGGCUCAGCCCGGCCACGCCCGCGCCCGGCGGGAGCUGCGCAGAGUCCGGGGGGCGGCCAGGGACAGGGACGCACGAUUGGCCAGGAGAUUGGGCAGGCUGUUCGCUUAAUUAGGGUAAUUAGGGGUAAUUAAUUAGGGGCAGGUAGGGUUGUGAGGGGAAUGGGCCUGGAGGCCGCCAUGAUGGAUUUACAGGCCAAAGUCGGGGCCCAGCCUGGCCAUGACAGGGACGCACGAUUGGCCCAUUGGCUAGUCUGGCUCUUUGCUUAAUUAGGGGUAAUUAGGGGUAAUUAGUGAAAUUUGGGUAAUUAAUUACAGGGAUUAGGGUUAGUGAGGGGAUUGGACCUGGACGCCACCAUGAUGGACCUGGAGGCCGCCAUGAUGGACCUGCUGGCCGUGCUCAGGGCUCAGCCCAGCCACACCGGCGCCCGGCGGGAGCUGCGCAGAGUCCGGGGGGCGGCCAGGGACAGGGACGCGAGAUUGGCCAGGAGAUUGGGCAGGCUGUUCGCUUAAUUAGGGGUAAUUAAUUAGGGGCAGGUAGGGUUGUGAGGGGAAUGGGCCUGGAGGCCGCCAUGUUGGACCUGGAGGCCGCCAUGAUGGAUCUACAGGCCAAAGUCGGGGCCCAGCCUGGCCAUGACAGGGACGCACGAUUGGCCCAUUGGCUAGUCCGGCUCUUUGCUUAAUUAGGGGUAAUUAGGGUAAUUAGAGGUAAAUAAUUACAGGGAUUAGGGUUAGUGAGGGGAUUGGACCUGGACACCACCAUGAUGGUCAUGGAGGCCGCCAUGAUGGAUUUACAGGCCGUGCUCCAGGCCUGGUCUAGCUGUGACCAGGAUGCGCGAUUGGCCCAAGGGCUGGGCCGGCGUUUCACUUAAUUAGGGGUAAUUAGGGUAAUUAGGGGUAAUUAAUUACAGGGAUUAGGGUUAGUAAGGGGAGUAGGCUGGAUGCCACCAUGAUGGACCUGGAGGCCGCCAUGAUGGAUUUACAGGCCAAGCUCAGCGCCCAGUCCGACCACAACAGGGACACAGAAUCGGCCUGGUGGCUGGGCUGGCUCUUUGCUUAAUCAGGGGUAAUUAGGGGUAAUUAAUUAUGGGGAGUUAGGGUUAGUGAGGGGAAUGGGCCUGGAGGCCGCCAUGAUGGGCCUGGAGGCCGCCAUGAUGGAUUUACAGGCCGAGCUCAGGGCUCAGCCCGACCACAACAGGGACACAGAAUCGGCCUGGUGGCUGGGCCAGCUCUUUGCUUAAUUAAUGGUAAUUAGGGUAAUUAGGGGUGAUUAAUUACAGGGAUUAGGGUUAGUAAGGGGAGUAGGCUGGAUGCCACCAUGAUGGACCUGGAGGCCGCCAUGAUGGAUUUACAGGCCAAGCUCAGGGCCCAGCCCGACCACAACAGGGACACAGAAUCGGCCUGGUGGCUGGGCCAGCUCUUUGCUUAAUUAAUGGUAAUUAGGGUAAUUAGGGGUGAUUAAUUAUGGGGAGUUAGGGUUAGUGAGGGGAUGGACCUGGACGCCACCAUGAUGGACCUGGAGGCCGCCAUGAUGGAUCUGCUGGCUGCACUCAGAGCCCCGUGGCCUUGCUGGCUCUUUGCUUAAUUAGGGGUAAUUAGAGGUAAUUAGGGGUAAUUAAUUAGGGGGAGUUAGGGUUAAUGAGGGGAGUUGGCCUGGAGGCCGCCAUGAUGGAUCUGCAGGCCACACUCAAGGCCCAGCUCGCCCCUGACCCGGACGCACGAUUGGCUCAAGGGCUGGGCCGGCUCUUUGCUUAAUUAGGGGUAAUUAACUACGAUGAAAUUAGCAUUAAUGAGCGGAGUGUGUUUGGUUUUCUUUGUGAUCGGGUGCCUCAUUAAUUAAUGUCAAUUAUACGUUUGUUAUUUAACGCUAAUUAUAGGUUUGAUAGCGAU